GGUCAAGCUACUAAGGGCGUACGGUGGAUGCCUUGGCGCAGGACGGCGAUGAAGGACGUGGUAAGCUGCGAUAAGCUCCGGUGAGCCGCAAACAGGCUUCGACCCGGAGAUUUCCGAAUGGGGCAACCCAUCGAGGGCAAUCCUCGAUCGCGCCAUCUGAAUACAUAGGGUGGCGCAGCCAACCCGGGGAAGUGAACCAUCUCAGUACCCGGAGGAAAAGAAAGCAAUAGCGAUUCCCCCAGUAGCGGCGAGCGAAGAGGGAACAGUCCAAACUGGUGGUAUGUCAAGCCUGCUGGCGUUGUAUCACCAGGGUUGUAGGGCCGGACAGGGCGUCGCGGCAGCGGCGCCGGGGAGUGAGAAACCGAUCUCCUAGCCGAACGAUCUGGAACGAUCGGCGAUACAGGGUGCAAGCCCCGUAGGCAAAAAGAGAGAGGCUCCCUCGUCUGGUUCCUGAGUACCGCGGGACACGUGGAACCCUGCGGGAAGCCGGGAGGACCAUCUCCCAAGACUAAACACGUGCCUGCGACCGAUAGUGAACCAGUACCGUGAGGGAAAGGUGAAAAGCACCCCUGUGAGGGGAGUGAAAUAGUACCUGAAACCGUAUGCCUACAAGCAGUGGGAGGGCGUUUGCCGGGAUUCGUCCCGGUGUUGCCUGACCGCGUGCCUUUUGCAUAAUGAGCCGGCUAGUUUUUCUCAGUGGCAAGGUUAAGCGUUAAGCGAGCCGUAGGGAAACCGAGUCCGAAUAGGGCGAUUCAGUCGCUGGGAAAAGACGCGAAGCGAGGUGAUCUACCCAUGGCCAGGGUGAAAGUCGGGUAACACCGACCGGAGGCCCGAACCAGUAUUGGUUGAAAACAGUUUGGAUGAGCUGUGGGUAGGGGUGAAAGGCUAAUCAAACCUCGUGAUUGCCCGUUCUCCUCGAAAUAGCUUUAGGGCUAGCCUCGCGGGAUAGCUUGCGGAGGUAAAGUACUGGAUGGACUAGGGCCUUUACCGAGGUACCGAAUCCAACCAAACUCUGAAUGCCGCAAAGCCGGACCGCGGGAGUCAGACUGUGGGGGCUAAGCUUCAUAGUCGAAAGGGAAACAGCCCAGACCGCCAGCUAAGGUCCCUAAUACAGGCUUAGUGGUAAAGGAUGUGGAUCCGCUAAAACAACCAGGAGGUUGGCUUAGAAGCAGCCAUCCUUUAAAGAAAGCGUAAUAGCUCACUGGUCUAGUGGGUCCGCGCCGAUAAUUCAACGGGGCUCAAGCCUGUUACCGAAGCUGCGGACUCGAUCCGGGUUCGCCCGGGUCGAUUGGUAGAGGAGCAUUCCAUCUCCGGUGAAGCUCGACCGACAAGGACGGGUGGAGGGUAUGGAAGGGACCCUGCCGGCACAAGUAGCGAUAAAACGCGCGAGAACCGCGUUCGCCGAAAGCCUAAGGUUUCCUGAGGAAGGUCAAUCCGCUCAGGGUUAGUCGGUCCUAAGGCCAGGCCGAAAGGCGUAGCCGAUGGAAAACGGGUCAAUAUUCCCGUACUGCCGCACGGACGAUAAAGACCGAUGGGGUGACGCAGAAGGGUAAGCCAGCCCGCGAUUGGAAGUGCGGGUUUAAGGGUGUAGGGAGUCCUCGCCGGUAAAUCCACGAGGGCGUGUUCUCGAGACCUGAUGACGAGAGCUUCGGCUCAUAAAGUGGCCCAUCCCAGGCUGCCGAGAAAAGCCUCUAAGGAGUUCGUGUGGUGACCGUACCGCAAACCGACACAGGUAGGCGAGGAGAAAAUCCUAAGGCGCUAGUGAGAACACUCGUUUAGGAACUAGGCAAAUUGACCCCGUAACUUCGGGAGAAGGGGUGCCCUCUUCGGUGAGGUGAUUUACUUUCCAGGCUGAAGAGGGUCGCAGAGAAAUGGCUCAGGCGACUGUUUACUAAAAACACAGGACUCUGCUAAGUCACAAAAACGACGUAUAGGGUCUGACGCCUGCCCGGUGCCGGAAGGUUAAAGAGAGGGGUUAGCCGCAAGGCAAAGCUCUGAACUGAAGCCCCGGUAAACGGCGGCCGUAACUAUAACGGUCCUAAGGUAGCGAAAUUCCUUGUCGGGUAAGUUCCGACCUGCACGAAUGGCGUAACGAUCUGAGCGCUGUCUCAACGAGUGGCACUGCGAAUCUGUAGUACCGGUGAAGAUGCCGGUUUCCCGCAUCUAGACGGAAAGACCCCGUGCACCUUUACUGCACCCUAGCCAUGAAUUUGGGUGCGUCCUGCGCAGGAUAGGUGGGAGGCUUUGAGGCCGGGCUCUCGGGCUCGGCGGAGCCGACGGUGAGAUACCACCCUUGAUGCUCUUAGGUUCUAACCUACUUCCUUCACGGGAAGAGGGACAUGGCUAGGCGGGUAGUUUGACUGGGGCGGUCGCCUCCUAAAGUGUAACGGAGGCGCUCGAAGGUUCUCUCAGGCUGUUUGGAAAUCAGCCGUCGAGUGCAAAGGCACAAGAGAGCUUGACUGCGAGACCUACAAGUCGAGCAGGUGCGAAAGCAGGACUUAGUGAUCCGGUGGUUCUGAGUGGAAGGGCCAUCGCUCAACGGAUAAAAGGUACGCCGGGGAUAACAGGCUGAUCUGGUCCAAGAGUUCACAUCGACGACCAGGUUUGGCACCUCGAUGUCGGCUCAUCGCAUCCUGGAGCUGUAGCAGGUUCCAAGGGUUGGGCUGUUCGCCCAUUAAAGCGGUACGUGAGCUGGGUUUAGAACGUCGCGAGACAGUUCGGUCCCUAUCUGAUGUGGGCGCAGGAGACUUGAGAGGGUCUGUCCUUAGUACGAGAGGACCGGGAUGGACGAACCUCUAGUGCACCAGUUGUCACGCCAGUGGCACAGCUGGGUAGCUACGUUCGGUUGGGAUAAACGCUGAAAGCAUCUAAGCGUGAAGCCUGCCUCAAGAUGAUGUCUCCCGCAGGAUAACCUGCCUAAAGACCCCUUGCAGACGACAAGGUUGAUAGGCCCGGUGUGGAAGCGCAGCAAUGCGUGAAGCUGACGGGUACUAAUCGGUCGUGAGGCUUGACCAU
rnacentral:rRNA from 1 species